rnacentral:rRNA from 1 species
CCAAUAGCGUAUAUUAAAGUUGUUGCAGUUAAAAAGCUCGUAGUUGAAUUUCGGGGUUAGUAGGUUGGUCAUGCCUCUGGUAUGUACUGGUCUCACUGAUUCCUCCUUCCUGAUGAACCUUAAUGCCAUUAAUUUGGUGUUUUGGGGAAUUUGGACUGUUACUUUGAAAAAAUUAGAGUGUUUAAAGCAAGCUAACGCUUGAAUACAUUAGCAUGGAAUAAUGAAAUAGGACGUUCGAUCCUAUUUUGUUGGUUUCUAGGAUUGACGUAAUGAUUAACAGGGAUAGUUGGGGGCAUUAGUAUUCAAUUGUCAGAGGUGAAAUUCUUGGAUUUAUUGAAGACUAACUACUGCGAAAGCAUUUGCCAAGGAUGUUUUCAUUAAUCAAGAACGAAAGUUAGGGGAUCGAAGACGAUCAGAUACCGUCGUAGUCUUAACCAUAAACUAUGCCGACUAGGGAUCGGAUGAUGUUAAUUUUUUAAUGACUCAUUCGGCGCCUUACG